rnacentral:rRNA from 1 species
UACGAAGGGGGCUAGCGUUGUUCGGAAUCACUGGGCGUAAAGCGCACGCAGGCGGAUUGAUAAGUCGGGGGUGAAAUCCCGGGGCUCAACCUCGGAAUUGCCUUCGAUACUGUCUGUCUUGAGUCCGGGAGAGGUGAGUGGAACUCCGAGUGUAGAGGUGAAAUUCGUAGAUAUUCGGAAGAACACCAGUGGCGAAGGCGGCUCACUGGCCCGGUACUGACGCUGAGGUGCGAAAGCGUGGGGAGCAAACAGG